rnacentral:hammerhead_ribozyme from 1 species
GCACUACUGAGGAGUCCCACAAUAGGACGAACCGGCCGUCUGGUGC